GUGCUUACUUUGGCCGCACACAUACUAAAACUGGAAUGGUACAGAGAAGAUUAGCAUGGGCUCUGUGCAAGGAUGACACGCAAACUUGUGACACCUUUCAUGUUUUU